ACAUUGAAUCUUUUAUACGGGUUAAAUUUAUUCGAAAAUAGAAAUAGAAUAGUUUAUUGGACGGAGUGGUCGAACUGAACGCUACGUAGUUCAUGACCGACAUCUUGUCCGCGUUGACUCGGCCAUCUGACGAGUGCAUGUUCCAUAGUUGCGGAGUUUUACGUGGUCGGAGCUGUGUAAGAUAGCUGUAUCUGGAAGUUUAACGUAAAAGUAUGUUGAUCGUAGAUUAAGCUGGAGAAGUGGUCUGUGGCAAAUAACGACAAAUAGCAGGAGGACUAAAGAAGAAGGAAAAAAGCGUUUAAUCGCUGAUAAUGAGGAAAUGGUGAGAAGAAAAAUUGCGUAAUAAAAAUGCGUAAAUAAAAUAAGGGCAUACGAAAUCUGGAUGUGUGAAAGAUUAAGAAUGGAACAUAAUAGCGAUGUUGAUUUAGUGUAGGAGUUUGCGGAAACAUGGGUUAGUUUUGUGGAAAUUGUAAAAUAUGUAAAAAGAUUGUAGGUUAGAUGUGCGAAAGUUGAAAGAAGUAAGAAGGGAAUGAAAAGAGAGUAUAAAAUGAUAAUAGUUACUACGUAAGAUAAUAUAAUUUUGUGGAUGGUAGAAGAAUGGAUUUAUUUGGGUUUUAGGAGAUGAAAGAAUAAAUAAAGAUACAUUUAGAAAAUA